ACGUUCCGUGUGUCCGCCAUCGGCCCCUGUGCGCCCUCCUCAAGCGUCACAACGACGGCUCCGCGGGCAAACAAAACCCGCACCAGCAAGAGCCUCAGGCCCAACGCAACCCGGGCGCGACACGAAGAGGACAGAGGUGCAGAAAAGGCGGCACGGCGGCUGCGAAAAGGGUAAGGCGACGAACCAAAAGUCCCGCGUGGGAAACGGAACCGCACCGCACACGAGACGGUGACGCAUCUGCCUGGACGAAGGCUGACUCAAAGCGGACAACACCAUCCCGCGCUUGAAGCGCGGUCAAGCCAGGAAGAGCGACAUCAACGAACCGCGAAAAUUGGUGCCGAUACGAUCUCGAGAACGCCGAUCUGGAACGGCGUGGGUACAACUAGCAGCAGGAACAAGAACGCACAGCGGAACCGGCCUAAGCACCUCCACCUCCACCACCCGCAACCGAAGCGGACGGCCACGGUUAGAUUGACCGCCACGAAGACCCUCCAGGAGAGGUAAGAGGAAGAAGAAGGUGGAGCUUGACACGGGAUACUAAUGGAGAUGCUUUUAGGGUCUUUUGGUGGAGACUUGAGCUCGGCUGGACAUCGAGGCGGACCGGUGCUGAAGAAGUUACGGGCGGAGCAGGCCGAAUCGAACGGCCGUGGUGCAGGACAAGAGCACACGUUUGUGCGAAUCGCGUGAGAGCGCGGGGACGCGGAUCGUUCGGCGCUUCCGCGUCGUGGGCCGUCAGGAAGGAUCGAGUCGUGGCUGACUUCGGGGUGACUGCUGAGGGCGAACGCGGCGGCAUGCAGCGACAGUGAGAAGGAGAGGCGCCAGCGCGCAAGUACCGCUAGA